rnacentral:rRNA from 1 species
AUUUAUACAGUGAAACUGCGAAUGGCUCAUUAAAUCAGUUAUAGUUUAUUUGAUAGUACCUUACUACUCGGAUACCCGUGGUAAUUCUAGAGCUAAUACGUGCUAAAAACCCCGACUGCUUGGGAGGGGUGUAUUUAUUAGAUAAAAAAUCAAUGCCUUCGGGCUCUUUGAUGAUUCAUAAUAACUUCUCGAAUCGCAUGGCUUCAUGCCGGCGAUGGUUCAUUCAAAUUUCUGCCCUAUCAACUGUCGAUGGUAGGAUAGUGGCCUACCAUGGUGGCAACGGGUAACGGGGAAUAAGGGUUCGAUUCCGGAGAGGGAGCCUGAGAAACGGCUACCACAUCCAAGGAAGGCAGCAGGCGCGCAAAUUACCCAAUCCUAAUUCAGGGAGGUAGUGACAAUAAAUAACGAUACAGGGCCCUUAUGGGUCUUGUAAUUGGAAUGAGUACAAUGUAAAUACCUUAACGAGGAACAAUUGGAGGGCAAGUCUGGUGCCAGCAGCCGCGGUAAUUCCAGCUCCAAUAGCGUAUAUUAAAGUUGUUGCAGUUAAAAAGCUCGUAGUUGAACUUUGGGCUUGGUAGGCCGGUCCGCUUUUUGGCGUGUACUGGUCCCUACCGAGCCUUUCCUUCUGGCUAACUAUCCUUCGGGGUAGCGAACCAGGACUUUUACUUUGAAAAAAUUAGAGUGUUCAAAGCAGGCCUUUGCUCGAAUAUAUUAGCAUGGAAUAAUAGAAUAGGGACGUUUGGUUCUAUUUUGUUGGUUUCUAGGACCAUCGUAAUGAUUAAUAGGGACGGUCGGGGGCAUCAGUAUUCAGUUGUCAGAGGUGAAAUUCUUGGAUUUACUGAAGACUAACUACUGCGAAAGCAUU